AUUUUUUUUGGUUGGAAUCAAGUUCAAGACAUGUCUUUUGCUGAUUGUGCCAGUAGAGCUGCAAGAGUGGUGGACAUGCAACACAGGGAGGUGAAAGAAGGGAGGAUCAGGAAGGAUGGAGGGAGGUGACAAAGCUGGGAGAAAGGAGGGAGACACCAAGGAAGGUGGCAUGGGAAGAAAGUGAAGUUGUGGCCCAAGGCUAGAGUGUGAUCGUGUAAAAUUGUUACCUUUCCAUCAAUGCUCAGGUUCAUUGUCAUUUUUAAAGUCUGGCACUUGAAGAUCUACACAAUUGUUGUCGAGGAAGAUGAUAAACUCAAUGAGGAUGAUAAUUGGGGUUAUUGUGAAGCUCGAUGUUUGGUGGAGUACUCUCGCGGUAAAGAGGACAAGGCAUGCAAACAUGAGUAACUGAUAGGUUUGUGUAAUCACUUCCAUUUUUUCUAGGAACAUUGAAUAUAAUUGAUUUUGUAAAGAAAGCGGUAGAGAAGACUGUACUUUUGGACCUUCAGGUGAAGCGGGAAUUAUAUCAUUGUGAUAUCAAAUAAUUGUUCAUUGAUUGUUUGAAUGAGUUGUUGACAUAUGAUU
rnacentral:rRNA from 1 species